rnacentral:rRNA from 1 species
AUUGAACGCUGGCGGCAGGCCUAACACAUGCAAGUCGAACGGUAACAUGAAGCCGCUUGCUGCUUUGCUGACGAGUGGCGGACGGGUGAGUCAUGUCUGCGAAACUGCCCGAUGGAGGGGGAUAACUACUGGAAACGGUAGCUAAUACCGCAUAACGUCGCAAGACCAAAGAGGGGGACCUUAGGGCCUCUUGCCAUCGGAUGUGCCCAUAUGGGAUUGACUAGUAGUUGGUGUUACGGCUCACCUAGGCGACGAACCUUAACUGGUAUGAGAGGAUCACCAGACACACGGGAACAGAGAAACGGUCGAGACUCCUACAGGAGGCAACAGUGGGGAAUAUUGCACAAUGGGCGCGAGCCUGAUGCAGCCAUGCCGCGUGUAUGAAGAAGGACUACGGGUUGGAAAGUAAUUUAAGCGGGGGGGAAGGGAAUAAAGUUAAUACCUUUGCACAUUGACGGUACCCGCAGAAGAAGCACCGGCUAACUCCGUG